rnacentral:rRNA from 1 species
AAGACCUUGCGCUUUUGGAGCGGCCGUUAUCUGAUUAGCUAGUUGGUGAGGUAAAGGCUCACCAAGGCGUCGAUCAGUAGUUGGUCUGAGAGGACGACCAGCCACACUGGAACUGAGACACGGUCCAGACUCCUACGGGAGGCAGCAGUGGGGAAUUUUGGACAAUGGGGGAAACCCUGAUCCAGCCAUGCCGCGUGAGUGAAGAAGGCCUUCGGGUUGUAAAGCUCUUUCAGUCGAGAAGAAAAAGCUGCAGUGAAUAACUGUAGUUCAUGACGGUAUCGACAGAAGAAGCACCGGCUAACUACGUGCCAGCAGCCGCGGUAAUACGUAGGGUGCGAGCGUUAAUCGGAAUUACUGGGCGUAAAGGGUGCGCAGGCGGCUUUGUAAGUCAGAUGUGAAAUCCCCGGGCUUAACCUGGGAAUU